GGCCUUAAAAAGCCUGGUACCCGUUAGGGCUAGCCCGAACGGGCCGCGGGUAGCCCGCAUAACAAAAAAAUCCUAUAAAUUAUAUAUAUUUUUCAAAUAAUUCUUUACUUAGUUGAUUAUCAAACUAAAAAAUAAAAGUGAAAAUUCAAUGAAUUAACACAUAUGAAUGUAAUAUAAAAUUAUAUUUACUCGUUUAGUUAUUUAUAAUUGGCUAAAAUGUGCUUUUGGUCCCUGCAAAUAUAGCGAAUUUGGGUUUUGGUCCCUGGUAAAAAAAAAAUUGAAAACAUCCCUGCAAAAUUUUUUGUCUUUUAAAAUAGUCCUUGGAUCCACUUUAUUGCUGAUUUGGCACAUUUUAGUCUACAUAGCAGUUGCUGACCAUGCAAUCAUGCACACGUGGCAAUUCACUUAUUUAAAAAUCAUUUUUAAAAAUUAGAUAAUAUAUUUUUGAAUUGAAAAAAAAUAUUUUUACUUGAUUAAAAAAUAAAUAAAACUGCAGAAAAGGGGGAAAAUAAAUUGUUCAUCUUCUUAACGUGUUCUUCAUCCCUCCUAACCCCAAACCUUGUUCUUCUUCCCAUAACCAAACCACCAUCAUCUUCUUCCUGUAACAACAAAAAUUAAAAAACUAGGAAGAAUAAUCAAAAUAUUCAUCUUCAACAAUCCAAAAUUCAUCAUUCUUUCAUUCAUUAAACCUAUAUUUCUCUCAAAUUUAAAUCCAAUUCAUCUUCUUACAAAUUCAAACCUAUAACAAAAUCAGAAGCAGCAAGGGAAAGGGAAAAACAGAAUUGCAAACUAGCAAGUUGAUACAACAAAAUGAAGUCGCUGCAUAUUGUAACAAGCGCAGCAGCAAGGGACUAUGUAGGAAAAAAAUACAGCAAAAUGGAAGAAAUCAGCGCUGUAACAACAUAAAUCCCCACAUUACAAAAACUUUCAUCAACAGCUGAAGGGCCGAACAACACAAACCCCAUAGCAGAUUCAAAAACAACGUCACAAACCCAGUUAUCAAGUCAUCGCCAUCGACCUCGUCGCGCUACGAUGUGCACCACCGUCAUCACCGCCGGCGUCCCGUUCACCAACCACCAAAUCUGCCAUCGCCGGCAACAGCCACAACGUGGCUGUUCUCACGUGACUCUCUUCCAUCACCAUGCCAUCACCGUCAUUCACCGCCGUGUUGAUGAAGAAGAAGAAAAACAGAAUCUGAGAAACACGUUCUGGUUAUUUAUUUCAAUUAAAAAUAAAAUGUUAUUUUUUUAACUAAUUUUCUAUGAAUUAAAACGAUUUUAAAAUAAUGUAAAAUGCCACAUGUACAAGAUAAUACAGUCAGCACCUGCCACAUAUGCAAAAAUGGGCCAAAUCAUCAGUAAAGUGGGGUCAAGGACUAUUUUAAAAAACAAAAAAUUUUGCAGGGAUGGAUUUCAAAAUUUAUUUUUACCAGGGACUAAAACUCAAAUUCGCUAUAUUUGCAGGGACCAAAAACAUAUUUUAGCCUUUAUAAUUUUAAAGAUCAAAUAUAUAAAUAUCUAUAACUUUUUUAAGGGAAGUAAAUAUCUAUAACCAUAACGUAUCUAAUUUAUUUAAAAUUGUUAUCCUCGCCGUUUUAGUUUACGACAAGUGUACGAAAAUGUUUGCAAUUUAUUUUUGUGCUAGACAUUAUUUAAACAUAUUAAAAAUUUAUUUAUAAAAAAAUCUAUAGGAGUAUUUUAUAGUACUUUUUUAUAUAAAAAAAUGUAAUUUUUAAUAAGGGCCGGCCCGUUAGCCCGUGUAGGGCCGGGCUCGGAUAGUAUAUUUUAAGCCCGUUUUUUCAACCGGACUUUUUGGUCCGGUCCGAUAAAGCCCGAAGCCCGUUAGAGCCCGCCCGUUUUGACAGCUCUACCCCCCCCCCCCCCGGCGCUUAUCUAGCUUUUGAAAUGAAUUUAUAGUUGUUACUUAAGGAUUAAAUAUUUAAAAAAAAAAAAAAAAAAACACUUAAAGAUUAAUAUAUACAGUUGUGUGUGGAGAUGCCUGACCCGUAAAAUAAAAACAUGUAUAAUGCUUAAAGUGGUAGAGCGCAACGACACUUUAUUUAUCUCAUAAGUAUAAACAAUGUGGUUCUUAAGAUGUAUAAGGUUAUUUCUAUGUGUUACACGUUGGUACAAAACAUGAUGAAUCCUGAUAUGGUGCAUAAGGUCAGAUCUUGUGUUGCACCGUGUGAUAUGACAAUGUGGUCACCUCAAUGGACUUGAACUUGACUCGUUUAUUCCGCCUUCAUGUCAUCUUCUUAAUGGCCUUUGCUAUUGGAUGACCCAAGUGAUAAUCGAGUCAUUCCUUUUAGCAUUGUACCAUUACACUAGCAUCGUACGAUUACACUAACCCUUGCUCACUAUGAUAAGUAACGGAUCUAAUAUUAUUAAAGAGAAAAGUUAUUGAAAAGUUUCGAUAUGAAAUUCGAAAGAAAAAAAAUACUAGUGUUAGUGCGUGAUUCCCAAUGUGAAACUCAGUUGUACACAAUAUAUGUUAUCCCCCUAUAGACUUGUAGCUCGUAGAAAAGAUGAAAGUUUAAAUGAUUUAUGAUGUGACUACUCAUGGGUUACAUUGCUUUGUUUCAUCGUAUUUUCAACAUUUGUUCAUGUUGUGGUGUUCGACUAACAUAGUGAUGUGAUUGUUGCUUUUAGAGAUGCAAUAUGAACAAUUAUAUUCGUUGGCAUAAGAUCGUAUUGUUUGAUCGCAAUGACUACCUCCAAAUCAUUUUCAAUCGUUGAUGAACGGUGCCCUCCAUUUUGAAUAUAUCCCCUUCAUCAUUUCCUUAUUAGGAAUUUUUUUCUAUGAUGGUUGAAGAUUUUUGUGCUUUUGAUUCCUCACUCUUUUGCUUUUUCAUUUUUCAGGUACAUUCUUGUUUUCCUUCAAAUUUAUUUGUAUUUCUCCAUAAUAUAAUCGAUGAACAACGCCCGAUUCUUUUUAGGUGAAGAAAGAUCCUCAACCUUCUAGUAUAAGUAAUUAACAAGAAAAUCCACCUCAUAUUCAUUCUUUCCAAGUAGUUCCAAAUAUCCCUAGUGAAGACUUAUAUAAGUACUUUUUUGGGGACGACUCAACAUCCAUUGAUCCCCCAUCAUCUGAGGUGUGUCAAAGUUUAGCCGACGUUGGCCUUCGAAAGAAGUUUCCUACCAAGCGAAGGAAGUGGACUCCCUCCGCACUUUAAUGACUCGCCUUGGAUAAUUUGUUGAUGUCCCUUCUACCCAAUGCCAGAUUUAUGCUCGGAUUGGUGUAUCAUUGAGAGAUAUAUCGAGUAAUUACAUGGGUUUCCAUAGAUAAUUGCAAUACGCCUGAUCUAUAUUUUAUCGGCUAUAUAAGCUUCAAUAGAAAAAAAAAGGCAUCAUUUAAGGCGUCCAAUAGUGGCAUAACAUCAAAUAAGAAUGGAUCUUUUGCAUGAACAAGAAAUCAAGUCUCAAACGUAUGAGUUGUUGGCCGAGAAUAAGUGGACUAACAAUGAACUACCAAUGUUGUACUAAGAGGCCAGUCUAAUAUCCAACAAACUCCAAGGUGUCAAUAAGUGGAGGCUCGAUCUCUUUACCAAAAAAUAUUAUAAUAUUAUAUUAACCAAAAAUCUCUUUUAUACAAUUGUAUCCAACCAAACUAAAUAAUAAUUUUUUAAAAAGGAAAAAUGUAUUUUUUCUAAUUUUUUUUUACUUUUGAAAAAUAUUUCUUUAUGAUAUAUUAACUCAGUUGAUAGGAACAAUGCAUAAAAUUCAUAGUUUUAAAACUCGGCUCGGUCAUCGACUCGACAUGGAUACUGGGUCAAUGAGUUAAUGGUCGAACCACUGACUCACUGGUUGAACUGCAUGACUGAAUCGGAUUAAACCGUAUGACUCGGUCAUAUGACCCGGUGUUAAUAUUAAAUUUUUAUAGGUAUUUAACUUGAUUAGGUUGGGUCGAACCGAUGACUCGGUCAUUUAAAAACUAAAAAAAACUAACAUGUAAUAUAUAUUAGUUAUUUUUUUAAAAGGUAUACCUAUAUUUUGUUGAGAGGAAAUAGUUUUUUUUUUUCAUAUUUAUUAAUAUUAAUAUAAUAUCUAAAUUUUAAAAAAAUUAUAUGCAUAUUAUUUUUUAGGGGUAUUUAUUAUUAUUAUUAUUGUGAAAAUAGAGACAUUUAAAGAUCAUGUGAUCUUUUUGAAGAAAAAAACAACGAUGUGUUUUUUGCUUUUAAAAAAAUGAAGAUGCAGCAUACAUACAUAUAUAAUAUAUUUGAUUAUUUUAGACAAACAAAUAGAUGGUGCGGUAGUUAAAUUCCAAGUCGUCCCCUCUCAUGUGUGCAGUUUGAAUCCUAGCAUACAAUUUUUUCAAAUUUUUAUUUCUCUACAAAAAUCAAAAGUCAAUGUAUUUCUUUCUUUAAAUUGCUCUCAUUUACUUAGGCUUUAAUUACAUUUAAUGCAUAUUAAAUCUAAUAAAUGACUAAUUAUGAAAAAAAAAACGUAAGAUAAAAAAUUAAACCGGAUUGGAUCAAAAAACCGGCCAAGUCACCGGUUUUAGCCGGUUUUUAACGAGUCUUACCGGUUUGAGCCGGUUUAAUUACAUGGCCGAUCCGAUAAAAGGCUCGAACCGACACACCCUCCGGUUCACGGUCGGACCGGUUCGACCGGCCGGUCCAGGUUUCAAAACUAUGAUAAAAUUUAUCUUUUUUCUUUUAGCAAAGAAAUAUAGAUUCUUAAUUUUAAAAUACCCUAUAAUUUUUUUUUUAAAAUUAUUUAUUAUUAUUAACUUAAUUUAAUUUUAAUCCGUAACAUAUAUCAUAAUUUGGUGCGAAAAAAAUUGGGAUAGACUCAAUUGGGUCCGAGUCAAUACAAAUUCAAAUUGCUUCAAACUCUAUUCUGCUCAACUCUCUCUCUCUCUGGUAGGUUUUCUCUCAGUCGCUUUCAAUUCUUCUUCUUUCAUGCUUUCGAAAUCGCUCUGCACUGUUUUUGUUUUUCUUUGUUUUGAUUCUCAGUGAAAAUCACUCACUUCGAAACCCUAAACCCUAAAUCAAUCUCUGAGAUGGUUUUUACUUCAAUUGCGUGUUACGCUGCUUGAUUUCGAUGCUAACAUGUGAACGAACACUUCGUUCUACAGUUUCGAUCAUCAUUUUUCAUCACGUAAUGUGUAAUUUGAUUUUACAAACAAAAUUACUAUUUCUGUGUCGUUUAUGAGUUCAGUAUUGCUUUGUUGGUUUUCUGAAUUUGCUACAUGCGCAGAUUAUGAAGGAAGCGAUUUUUGAAAUUUUUUGUGAUUCUGAUUUUUAUUUUUUUUAUUUGAUGAUUACAUGUUCUUUAUUGAUUGCCAUGAGUUUUCCAUCUUUAGUAACUUAGUUGAUUGCCACUGGUUUCCAAUUCCAUCCGUUGUUCUUCAAUUGAAAUUGAAAUUGAAUGUAAUUGCAUGUGUUUAUACAGACUAAAUGCUUUGUAAAGGAAAAUGUUUGAAUAAUUCAUUGUAGAUUUGUAGUGGGAUUGUGUUGUUUCAUAUUAUGCAUAAACAGUAUGUCAAUUUAAAUCAUUCUUCAUUAUAUAUAGUCAAUUUAAAUAAUAUAUUUUAUUUUAUUUUAUUUUAUUUUGAUGGCGGGAUGGCGGCCACCCCAAACUUUUUUGUCUGGCUCCGCCGCUGCACGGGACAGUAAAUUCUGAUUUUAUAUUGUGAAUUUCUGAAUUAUGAAUUUUAACAUAUGAUUUUAUUUUUGUAGGGUUGGUUACGAUAGUUUCAACAUGUUCAUUAAGCAGGUAAUUUUGUUUAGAAGUUCUUUGAUACAUUUAUUUAUUUUUUCAUUUGCAUUUACUUUUGUUGUAAUAUACUCUGGUUGCUAUUAUAAGCAAAGAUUACCUUUCAAAUUAUCAUCAUAUAGAAAAUUUCAUAGGAAUGGAAGGCAACAAGCUGCGCCACUAACCCUUUCUAGGUUCAUUAAAAAUUGGAUGUAUCUGGUUUAUAAUAUAGACUAGAUACAUCAGUUAUUCAACAAACCCGGCCAAAUAAUAUUUGCUUAUAAUAGUGAUAGAAGGAAGUAACAUUUGGUUAAAUAAUUCUUCCAUAUUUUAAAUUUUUUUCCUUCUUCGAUGUCCUUUAUAUUCUUGCUUUUUUGGAGUUGGUUCCUUGCUAAAUGGACUUGUAUCUUUUUUUAAGGUUGUGAUUGAAGGUUUCAAGAGUUAUCGAGAGCAAAUUGCCACAGAGGAUUUCAGUCCUAAAGUUAACUGUGUUGGUAAUAAUUUUAUUCAAAAGCUUUUAGAUGAUUUUGUGUUGAUUCAGCAUAAUCCUUUGAAAUGCAUGAUGUAGGAGUUUCAUUUGUGACAUGUCAUGAUGGAAGCUCAAUAAAGUUUGAAUUUGAUACAAUGUGAAAUGAAUUUAGUCAAGUUUCGUUUCAGUGCAUUAUAGCUUGUAGAAAUCUAAGUGUUUUUUUUAAUUACGAAUGAUAUUUGUCAGCAUAGUUUGUAAAUAGUUGCAAAUAGACAUACAUACAGUAUUACUCUUUGUAUAAUGGAAACUUUUCCUAUGGUAUGAUCCUAUUCCGCAAUUCUUCUUCUUUUUAAGGAUGAAAGACAAUUUUUAUGAAAAGGAACAGAUGCCCAAAUGUUGACAGUAUGGUAGUCUCAAGAGUAACAAGAUGGAGAGAAACAGGAAUACUCAUUACAAAAUCUUAGAUGAAUAUGCCUAAAACAACCAGCUAUCUUAGCACUAACCAUAACACUGAGUUACCGCAAAAUCUGCUGAUUUCCAUUAAGCGUUGCCAUAAAUUCUGCAAAGGCUUUGGAAAGCUGCCCCAUGUAGAUAUAGUAUCAGAACAAUGUAGGAACCAUUACUAGUAUUGGUUGAGGCAUGACCAUGGUUUUAUUAGAAAGUGCUUUAUUAAGAUUGUAAUUCUGGAAAAAGUCAUAUGUUUUUGAUUCUAAUGAAUGUUAUUAUCCCAAAUCCAAUCGAAAGACUCCCCUUUGGAACAAACCUUUGAAUCCAUUUCCUAACUUGGGCUACUGAAAGGAAUUCUGUUUGGAAGAUUAGUGAGAUUAGGGUUUACUGAAAGAAGAUUUACUAGCUUAACUAUUUCUGUGAGGGGGGCUAGCGAAAAAGAGUCCUUUUUGGAAAGUACAUCCUUUGUUCACUACAUUCUCUUCAUACUCUGAUAAUUCUUCCUUUUGUUUAUUCCAUCUAAUUUAAUGUGAAGUUGUCUCAAAAUGUCAUUUUGCAUCUUUCCUGUUUCGGUCAAAUUCAUGUGUUCAGUGACAUUAAUAGUAUCUGUUUGCUCAUUUUUUUGCAGUUGGUGCUAAUGGAUCUGGCAAAACAAUUUUUUUCCAUGGUAAGAAAAUCGCCAUUUCCUGUGUCACUGUACUUAUAACUUGACCAGAUUUUACUCUUUGUGAAGUAGCUGAAACUGAAUUGCUCAUCUUGAAUUUGACACUUGUUUUCCCUCCUUUUGUUUUGUAUCUAGCCAUUCGUUUUGUGUUAAGUGAUCUCUUUCAAAACCUACGCAGUGAGGAUAGGCAUGCACUACUCCAUGUAUGACACAAUUCACACCUCCUUUUAUAUUUUUACUUCUGUUUCCUACCCAGGCAGGGCUAAUCAAUUCUAGAAUUUGACAAAGCUUAAAUUUAUUUUUCUCUCUACAGGAAGGGGCUGGACACCCGGUUUUAUCUGCAUUUGUGGAGAUUGUGUUUGAUAAUUCGGACAAUCGUAUCCCGGUAAUAUUUUGAAAAUAAUAGUUUCAUUUAUAUUAGUAGACAAGGAGGAUGAUUUUCCAAUUUUUUUGAAGUUCCUUUGGUUUAAUUACAUUAUAAAAAGACCACUUAUGCAUGUUUUGUUUUCUGCUUGAAAAAGAAUAGAAAUGCUAUUUUCUUGUCUUGUUGGGUAAUAGACGAAUACUCUAAUUUUCUGGAAAUGAUAAAAUUGUAUUAACAUAAAUUCUGGGGAAGAGUCCUCUGCAAUGGUUGGAGCUUCCCUUCGAUAGACAACUUUAAAAAGUCGUGUGUCUAUGGAAGCAUUGUUAGAGGAAUUGGACCAAAAUCAACCCAUACUAACCUUACUUACUAAAUCUUUGGAUGGCCAUUCAUAGAACACCUCAAAUACACCUCUAAAGUUCUAUUAGUUACUUCCGAUUGCCUAUUUGUUUUGGGGAUGAUAUGUUGAGCUAUAUUUCAACUUGGUCCCUGCCUUUUUAAACAACUCUUUCCAAAACAGCCUCAUAAACUCAUCAUCUUUGUCUGAAAUGAUGGGACCAGGGAAUCCUUGCAGCCUUGCUACUUCCUCAAUGAAAACUUGAGCCACAACCGUAGAAAUAUAUGGAUGGCUCAGUGCAAUGAAAUGAACAACCUUGGAUUGGACAGCCUGUUCACCACUACCAAAAUAGAAUCGUCGCCUCUUGAUUUGGGCAGCACGGAGUUGGUUGCAGCUGCUCUGCUGGUUUAGGGGCCUGAUACUUGUUUUGUUGGCAAAUUGCACACUUUUCCACCAACUCUUCUAUGUUUUUUCUCAUUCCCUUUCAGUGGAACACAUUAGCCGCCCUUUAAAAUAUCCUCAAAGCCCCUGAGUGUCCUCCCCAAGAUGAGGAAUGAAACUCCUAUGAUCAAAGGAAUGCAUGCUGAUUUUUCUGGAAACACUUUUACCAUUGUUCCCUCCUUCACGCCUCACUGUUCCUCCCUACUUGGGUUCCCAGGCCUAUUAUCCUUCUUUCUUUCUGAUUUGGUACACAUACUUGACUGGUCUAUCAUUGUGCGACUGGUCUAUCAUUGUGCGUAAAUUGAAUCCUGUUGCAUGAUUGCCAUGGCAGGGAAAAUGACUUUAUCUAGAAAUAUUUUAUAGAUUAUAUUUGCAAAGAUUCUGAUUAGUCACCUUUUUUUUUCCUGGCUAUAGUAUUAGUUACGAUAUUAAUCUCUACCUUUUUAAAUGGUGGUUGAUUGGAUAUUUAUCCAUUCUCACGCACUGAUUUCUACACUUUGGGUUUUGUCAAUCUAUCAACAUAAAGGAUCUAUAGGCUAAAAAGGAAUCUGGAUUUAGUUAACUGACAACUUGUGAUGACUGGAUGCAUAUUAUUUCCAUAUUCCUCUUUUAAUUAUACAUGCCAUUUUUAACUCAUCAUUUUUCUAUGUUGAAGUAAUUUAUUCUUAUUCCAUGCAUGGAUGUGCUUGGCAUUGUUCUCUGGGGUUUUGAUUGUACUCUUCCUUAAGUUGAGAAGUAAUUUAAUUAAUGAUAUGGUUCUCUGGGUUGGUGAGAGUUUUUAUUUGAAAAACAUUCUGAUACAAUUUCAUUUGUUCAGAACUUGCUUUAUAAUAAAUAUCCUUUUAUCUAAGUUGUCUGAAAAAUCUAUCGAUUGGUGCUUGGCGAUGCAUUUUUUACAUUGCGCCCGAAGAGCUUGCAUUUUACUUUAUUAUUCAAGUCCUUUAUCUUUGACAACCACUUAUUGCGAUAUUUGCACAUGUACUUUAUCUUGGUAUCUAUUUGUGGAGGUAGUCCUGAUUGGGCACUUUGGACAUAUUAUUUAAACACACACACAUCAAAAUGUAUUUUACUUAAUUCUUUAAAAAAUAAAUAUUAUUCAACUAUUUUCUCUUUCCACUUUUUCUCAUUAUUGUAUGUGUGCAUAAAAUUGAUGUGUUGGGUAUGUGUCAAAGUAAGUAUUUUUCCUAUUUGUGUCGGAGGAUAGGUUGACAAAGAGGAAGUGCACUUACGCAGGACGAUUGGUUUGAAAAAGGAUGAAUACUUUCUAGAUGGAAAACACAUCACGUGAGUGUAAUAGAUUAAGAUAUAGAGCACAUACUGUACAUUCAUUUUUAUAUAAAAUUGACGUUUUAUCUUAUGCCCUUUGGUUAUUUGAGUAGUUAUUUACCUAUAUCCUAAAGAAAGAUGAUAAAUACUUUACAGGAAAACUGAAGUGAUGAAUUUACUAGAAAGUGCUGGGUUCUCUCGCUCAAAUCCAUAUUAUGUUGUGCAACAAGGAAAGGUAUUGGUGCAUGCUGAUGGUGCUAUUGUUUGGUCUUUUAGAUUGUUAUGUUGAUAAACGUUGAAGCAAUUACUAAACUUGCUGUUUUCUUGCUCUUGCCUAGAUAGCAUCCCUGACCUUGAUGAAAGACUCUGAGCGAUUGGAUUUACUGAAGGAAAUAGGUGGUACUAGAGUUUAUGAGGAGAGGCGCCGUGAAAGUUUGAAAAUAAUGCAGGAUACAGGCAAGUCUUUCAAACUCUAUUUUUUUUAUUUUUUUUUAUUUUUUAUAAUUUAAAAUUUCUGAAUUUUUAUGUUUAAUUUCAUGUUAUAGAUGUUUUUAUCAUGUAUUUUACUGUGAGACAGGUAACAAAAGAAAACAAAUUAUCCAAGUUGUACAGUAUUUAGACGAGAGGUUGAAGGAACUAGACGAGGAGAAAGAGGAACUUAGAAAAUAUCAGCACCUUGACAAGCAGAGAAAAUCCUUGGAAUAUGCCAUAUUUAGCAAAGAAGUUCAAGAUGCUCAACAAAAGCUUGCAGAGGUUUUCUAUAUUAAAAUGUUUUCACAUUUAUAAUUAUUUGAAUGAUAUUUUUUACUGUGUUUUAUUUUUGAACUUCUUUCUUGAUGAUUGGAUUGUCUAUUAAAUCCAUUUAGGUGAUGAUAUGUUGUUUUUGUUAAUUCUUGCUGUAUGGUUCAAAAUCAAUGCUGAGAUCAGAUGGCAGAUGUUAUAGUAUAAAUCCUUAUGAAGACCUUGUUUUUGUUUUCAAUUAAUAUUUUGUUUGGGUGUAGCUAAAUAGACAGUGGUAGAUACUUAAGUACUUGAGAUACCUCCAGCCGAAUCACAGUUCUCAAUUGUUAGUAUCAAAGAGACUGGACAAACAAAUGGGAAGGUUUUAAUGAUAACGAUUCUGGAGUAAACCAGAAAUAUAAUACAUCAACUCAGUUCACUACCUACCAUAAUAAUAACCGCCACCCAUACAUACAGGGAUAAAAUGCACAUAACUGUCCUCCCAUUCUAUCUGUCUAAUAAAAUUAACUGUCCUAGCUGCUUAAUAAAAUAACUGCCGUACAUACACAUUACUGUCACCAGCAACUCCAUUUUCUUUGGACAUUAACUUUCCAAGGCCUUGUGCCGUAGACUGGUCUGUCAUCAAUUUGCUGAAAGGUGGAGGAAAGUAAUGACCUUGGUAAAAGUAAAAGCCAAACAAUGUUAUUGAUUAGGGAUGGCGGACAAUGGCUGAAGGCUAAAAUUCCGACAUUUUAAGUUUACGUUUCUGCUAUAAAGUGCCAUGGUGCUGCUGUCCGUCACAAAUUGACCAUCACGGUUGUUAAGAAUUCCGGCAUUUAUAACACUUGAGUUCGAUCGUGUAGCGAGUAAAAUGUACUUGACAUUAUACUCAUAUUAAUAGCAAAUUAAUGAUCUUCCAACUUAGUUGACAUCUCUAAAUUUGUGAUGUUUUGGAGAGACCAGACUACUUGGUUUUGCAGAGCAGGUUUUAGGGUAAGUCUUCCACCUCGUUCAUACCCAAAUCUUCUGCUCUUUAGUCUUCUAGCAGUUGGCUACUAUGUCACUCCUCCCUUUCUCUAUUGUAAUUGUCUCUCAUCUCUAUUUCAUCCUCGCCAAUUCCCGAUCAGCCUAACAUCCUUGACUCCUUUUAUCCCUACUAAGUGAACUAGGGUGAAAUGCUCUCAAAUAUUCAAUGCAAUUAUUUGCAGCUUUAUAAUUGUACACUCUAACUUUUUUUCGGUCUUCAUAGAUCAAUAAAAAAUUAGGAUGCCAAAUUUAUAUUGUUAUAGUCUUCUAGACUUUUUUAAUUCUGUUUUUACUAUAUUGAGUUUCUGAUGCCUGAAGGUAGAUUCUUGACUCCUUGUUUUAGAUAGAACAAGCUCGGAACAAGGUCUCUGAAAUAUCAGCAAAGAAGUAUAAUGAGGUUCUUGAUGCACAAGAGAAAUCCAAAGAUUUGGAGAAUAAUUUGAAAGAUAUAACAAAGGAACAUCAAAACCUUAUCAAAGAAAAAGAAGUUAUUGAAAAGAAACGAACAACAGCAUUAAAGAAGCGCACAGAGCUUGAGCUUGAUGUCAAAGACUUACAAGGGAAGAUCUCUGGAAAUAGGCAUGCC
rnacentral:lncRNA from 1 species